rnacentral:RNase_P_RNA from 1 species
GAGGAAAGUCCGGACUCCUUAUAGUGGAUAACUGUUGAAUAAAUUUCAAUAUGAGUAAUCGUGAGGAAAGUGCCACAGAAAAAAACCACUCAGUUUUAUGUAUUGAGUAAGGGUGCAAAGGUGCAGUAAAGGUGUACCAGGAAUAUUGUUGAGAUAUUUGCUCGGUAAACCCCGUUAAGGAGCAAAGAUAUAUGUCUGUUUUUAUCUAUAUGACAGAGAAAAUUAAAGAUUAAGAUUAAUACCGCUUUAAGUAGAAUUAUACUACCUGAGAUCAAUAACUACCCUUCUUGCUUAGAAAUGAAAAGAUAGAAGAACAAAAUCCGGCUUAU